rnacentral:lncRNA from 1 species
GGGGGGGUAAGAUGUACGCAGUCCAUACCUCUACCUCUGAUGAAGUAGAAAGGCUGUUUCCGAAAGACCCCCGGCUCAAGUCACGAGAUAUCCCACAAACACAUAGUACAGCACAGAAGCAGAUGACAUAACAUAGAUACGGCACCCAUAAGGAAUAUAAAACAGAGUAAAGCAGGAAUGCAGGACCAAUUAAUUCCCUACCCUAGCGACCCGAACUGGCCCUAAUCCUCUGCCGUAAUUCGCAUCUUCCAGACCUUCCUAUCUAGGGUCAUGUCCUCGGUGAGCUGUAACUGUUCCAUGUCCCGCCUAAUCACCUCACCCCAGUACUUUUUCGGUCUACCCCUACCCCGUCUAAAACCAUCCAACGCUAGCCUCUCACACCUACGGACCGGGGCAUCCAUGCCCCUCCUCUUCACGUGUCUGAACCAUCUCAAUCGUGCUUCCCGCAUCUUACACUCCACUGAAGUCACACCAACCUUCUCCCGGAUAGUCUCAUUCCGAACUCUAUCCCCUCGUGUCAGUCCACACAUCCAGCGCAA